rnacentral:tRNA from 1 species
GCGCCCAUAGCUCAGUUGGAUAGAGCAACUGCCUUCUAAGCAGUCGGUCGGGGGUUCGAAUCCUCCUGGGCGCGCCA